rnacentral:rRNA from 1 species
UACGUAGGGGGCUAGCGUUGUCCGGAAUCAUUGGGCGUAAAGCGCGCGUGGGCGGCCCGGUAAGUCCGCUGUAAAAGUCAAAGGCUCAACCUUUGAAUGUCAGUGGAUACUGCCGGGCUAGAGUCCGGAAGAGGCGAGUGGAACUCCUGGUGUAGCGGUGGAAUGCGCAGAUAUCAGGAAGAACACCGACGGCGAAGGCAGCUCGCUGGGACGGUACUGACGCUGAGGCGCGAAAGCGUGGGGAGCGAACAGG